AGAUUGAACGCUGGCGGCAGGCUUAACACAUGCAAGUCGAACGGUAACAUAAAGAAGCUUGCUUCUUUGAUGACGAGUGGCGGACGGGUGAGUAAUGCUUAGGAAUCUAGCUUAUGGAGGGGGAUAACUACGGGAAACUGUAGCUAAUACCGCGUAGAAUCGAGAGAUGAAAGUGUGGGACCUUCGGGCCACAUGCCAUAGGAUGAGUCCCAAGUGGGAUUAGGUAGUUGGUAGAGGUAAGGCUCACAAGCCGACGAUCUCUAGCUGGUCUGAGAGAUGACCAGCCACACUGGGACCUGAGACCGACGGCCCAGACCUCCGUACGGGAGCAGCGAGGUGGGAAUAGUUGCGACAAGGUCGGGGGACCAACCGUGACCG
rnacentral:rRNA from 1 species